AUGGUAAAGAAGCCAGAGUACCCGUCCUUCUAUUUCGUCGAGCUCGUGUCCAUCAACAUCGGCGGCUACGUCUUGCCGGUGCCGCCGUCCCUGUUCACGAACGGGGGCACCCUCCUCGACUCCGGCACGAUCCUUACGUACCUCCCCGCGGCGGCCUACACCUCGCUCCGCGACCGGUUCAAGUUCACCAUGAAGGGGAACAAGCCGGCGCCGGCAUACGACAUCCUCGACACGUGCUAUGACUUCACCGGCCAGAGCGCCAUCUUCAUACCGGCGGUGUCCUUCAUAUUCAGCGACGGCGCCGUGUUCGACCUUAACUUCUACGGGAUCAUGAUCUUCCCAGACCCAAGCAAGCCGGCCAUCGGGUGCCUCGCGUUCGUCUCGAGGCCGACGGCCAUGUCAUUCAGCAUUGUCGGCAACACACAGCAGCGGUCGACGGAGGUGAUCUACGAUGUUACAGCGCAGAAGAUCGGUUUUGUCCCGUUCAGUUGCUGA
rnacentral:rRNA from 1 species